AAGUCGUAACAAGGUUUCCGUAGGUGAACCUGCGGAAGGAUCAUUAACACGCAUCCAACGUUAAACAACCCUGUGAACUUUCAGACAGCAAUCCCGGUAAAUCAAUGGCGGAAAAGUUUUGAUUCGGGACCUCUGUCCAAUUAGUUACAAUCGAGCUAGGAGCAGUGGCAUGGUUUCCCUAAGCAGUGCAGAAGGAUCCACUGAGUAAGGAUAACGCAUCACGGUUGCUAGAGGUCGAUCACCGGCCGGCAGACAUGUCACAGGGCUAUAUGCCCCUUCGUUCACCCCUUGCCUAAAACUCGCCCACCGGAAACGCUGGGCACAAAAACCGAACAACUGUUAACAAUGGAUAUCUUGGUUCUC
rnacentral:misc_RNA from 1 species